UCUGAUUUGCUGGAGUGCACAUGAGGGCUAGGGCAUGGCCAUGGGCACUCUUCUUUACCGGCAAGGUACAUCUUGUACCUUUUGUUGAUCACUUCCGAAUGGUCUGCUAGGAAUUAUAAAUGGAAGUAUAACUUGGCGUGAUCGUGACGAGAGUAUAAAUUUGUGUAAUUUAGGGCUAGACUCUGCUAUUUUAUUUGGUUUAAUAUUUGGGUUGCAGAUUUGAAGACUGUGCUGGAUUUGAUGUCCACGUUUGAUUGAGGUAGAUCAUUCCAGAGUUUUACAACUUCAGGGAGGAAGUUGUUUGUCAAGCAAACAAGAAAAAGCUUCGUGAGUGAGGCUUGCCCUGAUUUGAUUAUACAUCAAAAGUUGCAGAUCUGGGGUGCAGUUUUCUCCUUUUCCAGCAUGUUUCUUUCACUUGCUCUGUUUGCUAAAAGCAAACGGGUGAUGGUGAUGAUGAAGAGUGCAGCUGGAACAGGGACUUGUAAAGUGAUGAUCAGAAACAGAUUAAAACCAAAGAUGAUGAUGGUCAAGUUUGAUCCAAAAG